GCGGAUGUGGCGGAACUGGUAGACGCGCAGCGUUGAGGUCGCUGUGGGGUAACUCCCGUGGAGGUUCGAGUCCUCUCAUCCGCACCA
rnacentral:tRNA from 11 species